rnacentral:rRNA from 1 species
AACGAACGCUGGCGGCAGGCCUAACACAUGCAAGUCGAGCGAGGACUUCGGUUCUAGCGGCGGACGGGUGAGUAACGCGUGGGAAUGUGCCCUUCUCUACGGAAUAGCCCUGGGAAACUGGGAGUAAUACCGUAUACGCCCUAUUGGGGAAAGAUUUAUCGGAGAAGGAUCAGCCCGCGUUGGAUUAGGUAGUUGGUGGGGUAAUGGCCUACCAAGCCGACGAUCCAUAGCUGGUUUGAGAGGAUGAUCAGCGACACUGGGACUGAGACACGGCCCAGACUCCUACGGGAGGCAGCAGUGGGGAAUCUUAGACAAUGGGGGCAACCCUGAUCUAGCCAUGCCGCGUGAGUGAUGAAGGCCGUAGGGUUGUAAAGCUCUUUCAGCUGGGAAGAUAAUGACGGUACCAGCAGAAGAAGCCCCGGCUAACUCCGUG